CGGACGGGUGAGUAACGCGUGGAUAACCUGCCUUAUACAGGGGGAUAACAGUUAGAAAUGACUGCUAAUACCGCAUAAGCGCACAGUACCGCAUGGUAGUGUGUGAAAAACUCCGGUGGUAUAAGAUGGACCCGCGUCUGAUUAGCCAGUUGGCGGGGUAACGGCCCACCAAAGCGACGAUCAGUAGCCGACCUGAGAGGGUGACCGGCCACAUUGGGACUGAGACACGGCCCAAACUCCUACGGAAGGCAGCAG
rnacentral:rRNA from 1 species